ACGGGGAAAUGGAACGGGGACGGCAAUGGGGAUCCCCCGGCAGACCGCCCGACCGACCGCCCGCCCGGCCGACCGACCGACCGCCUUCCAUCGCGGGCAGCGCCGCCCGCAGCGCUCAGCCCGCCCCGUCGCAGGGAAACUGAGGCAGCGGCCGCGCGUGAGGGGGGUGGCCCGGCACGGGGGGGGGGGGGGACACACGGAGGGACAGUGGGGACCUGUGGGGUUUGGGAGGUGCCGCUGUGGUAAACCCGCACCCACCGCCCCCCGGCCUGUGUGCGGCGGCUGAGGGGGGGAACCCGCGUGCAGCGUUAGUGUGCGAUUCACCCGAAUCCGUAAUUGUGUCGCCGUGAGUUUUUAUUGCGGUCGUUAUUGUUACUGUUCUUUUCAUGUUGUGUCUUUUUUUUUUAAGCGCAGGGCUAAGGCCCAGUGGGGACUGUGGAGCGCCGUGCCUUGUGCCGCCCACUGUGUCCCUCACAAGCCAUCCCCUCAACCCUUCGCAUUUCUGUCCCCCUCAGAAGCCACCACUGUCCCCGUCAAAAGUCACCGACUCCCCCCAGACACCCCCUGCCCCAUUACAAGGUUCCCUAGUGAAAGUGCAGCCAGUGGAACAGAGCCCAUGCAGUGGCUUGUAUAAUUCUGUUGGUGCGAGUCCAGAAGAGGCUACAAAGUUGAUAAGAGAACCGGGGCACCUCCCAUAUGGAGACAGGCUGGGAAAGGUGGGGUGUUCAGCCUGGAGAAGGUUGUGUGGAGACCCAAAACAUCUUUCAGAAUCUGAAGAGACCUGCAAGGAAGCUGGAGAGGAGCUCUUCAUCAGGAACUGGAGUGACAGGACAAGGGGGAAUGGGUACAAACUGGAAAAGGGGAAAU